GAAUCCCUGGUGGUUCAGGAGUUCACUCUCGUGAGAUUCGGGGCGUUGCCGUGGUAAUGCUCCGAGCGGAGAACCCGGCGAACCUGCAGGUUAGAGCUCCCCCUGGGUCCUCUCUCCCUCUCCUGCUGACUGCAGCAUUGUUGUACUAACAGGCGAGGGGAGAGGGAAGCAUAGUUCCCAGUGCUAUGAUCCCAUGAUAAUAGCACUGGGGAAAUAUUUUGCAGCGCCCC